GCAUGCGCAACUGUGGCGCGCGACUGCGCUAGAACGCGGCUCCCGCGACCCCUGGCGGCGGCUGCCGAGGGGCUGCGGGACGACCUUGGGCGGCAGCUAGCAGCGAGUCCUAGCUGAUGUGGCCCUGAGUCAGCUUUUAGAGGUCCCAAGACUCGUUCACAGGCCGCUAAACGCAAACUAAGGCACCUCCCAGCACACCAGGAUCGACGUGUCCUCCUUCAGUCCGGACUCGGCGGAAUCUGCACCUGGGAGCCCCUCCCCAAAUGACCUGCUAGCCGCAGUCCAGGAAGCAGGCACCCCUCACUCCCCUUCUCAAAUGGGGGCUCUAUUCCUGUCUCUAGCUCUGGAGUUGUUGUGAGGAUAAAGGGAGAACCUGGCACACAGUAGGCACUCAACAAACCGUUCCUCUGUCUGUCUUGAGAGACUGCGGUGGGCCCUGCAGGGCAGCUGCCUGCCUCUGCCUGGUUCGAGGAAGGCCCAGCCAGGCCGGCCCCAGCUUCCUUCCUGCUCUUCUGUCCCACUCCGACCCACUCCGGAGAGCCACGCUCUGAGCCGCACAUGACUCUCUCCUUCUCCACAGAACAAUCUGUGUUCUGCUCCCGCCCCCGAGAGAGUUCUGAGCUUUCCAAAUAUGGAUGCUUUUUGCAUUCCCAAAGCAUCACGAACAUUUGGGAGAAGAAAAUGAACACCAGACAUGGUUUGGAAACGAUGGAAGCCAAGGGAUGGGUGGUGACGGAACAAGCACCGUACUAGGAGUUUUAAAAUAUAAAACACGAGUCUGGCCUAGGUGAUGUCUUACAACCUUACUAGCUUUGUAGCAGUCUAGGCCCCAAAGAGAUCCUAGAAGUAAGCACCCAAACCCUAAGAAUAAAAACUACAGCGGCCACCACCACACAUUGCAGAGGCGAAAACUGCAUUAAGGAGGCCCAGAGAGUCACCUGCUGUCAGAGGAAAUGAGCAGUGGGAGGCAGUCCCUUGAGAGCCAAACAGCUUGAAAGUUGACAAAUUGAGAUGAACCAGCUCGUCGGUGAGUGUAGGCAGAAGAGGCAUUAGACACAAGAGUAUUUGUUUUUAUAUCAGGCCCAAACCAAAACCUAUUCUGAAAUGGAGUGGAUCUCAGAAUAUACUGAGAAGUUUGCCCUUUUGCUUAGGCACCUUGUGUGUUAUUCAGCUAGAGUUUAUCUUCAAUAGUGUGCCCCUGGAUGCCAGGGCAAAAUGUUAAAGAAUGGCCCCGUCACAGGCACCCCUGUGCAGCAGGCACUGUUGUCCCUGGCGCACAUGCAGGGAGAUAAAGCAGGCAGCUUAGAUAUGACACAGCCUCAACACCCAACCCAGAAUAAGCACUCACAUAUUUGCUGAUUUAAUGAAUUAAUUAAUUAUACAGUCUAGUUUGAGAGAGGCAAAUGGCAGAUGUGAAAUAAUUAAAAUCUGAAUGCCAAAUUAGAUGGUACUAGCUAUAAAUAGAGGUGGAAUCAGAGGAUGGAGAGAUUGGUGUGGACAAACGGGGCUGGAGAGGUCUGUAUGCAACAACGGGUGUCACCAAGGGCGGACUCAGCACAGGGAAGAGAUGACUCCCAGAUGGAUGGAGAAGAUAAACAGAGGUGGGGGGUUGGCCUGGCAGGGGUGAGGGCAGGUGGGCAAGGAGGCAGGCAGCCUGGAGCAGAGGAUGGGUGGGACACAGCAGGACAUGCAGCCAGCCUGCCAAGACUAGGACAUAUCCUCCACAGUCUGCAGAGGUGCAUGCCAUACCUAGACCUGCCAGGGUUAGCAGGAGGACUUGAACUCGAGAUUCAAGCAAUAAGGGAGAGGAUGACUCUUUUUUCGAGAUAAUUAGCUCCUGAUUAUCUCAACAUGAUACAUUUAAACCUCACACUGGCUUGUCCUGACACUCAGGCCACUAUUUACACUCUUCACCACAUUUUAACAUCACCUUAACUGAGAAUGUAAAUCCGGCACAAAUGUCCAAAUGCUCAUGUAUUUCAGGCAUUGUAAACCCCAGGGGAAAGCUCUGUGUCAUCGGCAUCCCUCCACCCCUUCACUAGCCCAGAGCCCUGGGGGGCAUUGUGCUUAUAGGUGGAGCUGUCUUGUUACUUGCUGGGGCCUUGCAGGGCCCAGCCUCUAGCCAUGCCCUCCAAAUGAGCUUCAGCCACUCCUGGGUUUUAACCAAGUCCUGCACCUAUACGCAGACCUAUUCCUGAAUCCUGACCAACAAGCCAAUAGCCUGGAAACCUAUAUGCUGAGCACUAGCCAAGAAUUCCAAUGUUUCCCCAGGAUAGCACCCUCUUGUGGACAAAGAGAUUCCACCAUGUUCAACCAAUCCAGUAUCUUCCCUCUACCCUCCAAGGAAAAUGGGCUCCUUCUCCUGAAAUCGCCUUUGCAAAAAUUGUAACAGUGAGAAAAUUAUGACAGUGAAAGAAAUCUGAUCUAACCAACCCCUAUCUUGCCAUUAACCCCCAAACUAUGGUAUUCCUGGGCUUAGGUCAAGCUAACUUUAGGAGAUAUUUAGUUUAUAGUUUAAAUGAUAAUAACACUUCCCCAAAACUCAACUGCCAAUGAAGGACCACCAGGUUAGGAGGAUGAGAGAAGCCUGAAUUCUGCUAAGGCAUAAGUGAUUACCAGCCAUUGUUCCAAAGGUCACAAGAUUUGCAACUUC
rnacentral:lncRNA from 10 species